UGGGGAAUUUUCCGCAAUGGGCGAGAGCCUGACGGAGCAACGCCGCGUGAGGGAGGACGGCCUGUGGGUUGUAAACCUCUUUUCUCAGGGAAGAAGAACUGACGGUACCUGAGGAAUCAGCAUCGGCUAACUCCGUGCCAGCAGCCGCGGUAAGACGGAGGAUGCAAGCGUUAUCCGGAAUUAUUGGGCGUAAAGCGUCCGCAGGCGGCCGUUCAAGUCUGCUGUCAAAGCGCGCAGCUCAACUGUGGAUGGGCGGUGGAAACUGAAUGGCUAGAGCGUGGUAGGGGUAGAGGGAAUUCCCAGUGUAGCGGUGAAAUGCGUAGAGAUUGGGAAGAACACCAGUGGCGAAAGCGCUCUACUGGGCCGAGACUGACACUCAGGGACGAAAGCUAGGGGAGCGAAAGGGAUUAGAUACCCGCGUAGUCC
rnacentral:rRNA from 1 species